rnacentral:lncRNA from 1 species
AUCAACGAUAACAUAGAGGCCAUACUCAAAAAAUUUCUACAACCUGUUACCUAAAUUUCUAGUAAAAGCAUCUGCAUCUAAAAUAAAAUCCUACAGCCUCCUAAUUGAAACAGAAACGGCAAGCGGAUUUAUUUAAUGUUCAAGGCUAUCAUUUAACCGUAACAUGAACAAACCCCCAAAAGAACGCAAACACAGAUCGAAAAAGAACAAAUAAGCAAGAACAUCAACCACACAUUAUCGAAAGCAAGUGAGAAAGGA